rnacentral:rRNA from 1 species
GCUUAUAACUAUAUCCACUUACACCUGUGAACUGUUCUAUUACUUGACGCAAGUCGAGUAUUUUUACAAACAAUGUGUAAUGAACGUCGUUUUAUUAUAACAAAAUAAAACUUUCAACAACGGAUCUCUUGGCUCUCGCAUCGAUGAAGAACGCAGCGAAUUGCGAUAAGUAAUGUGAAUUGCAGAAUUCAGUGAAUCAUCGAAUCUUUGAACGCAGCUUGCGCUCUCUGGUAUUCCGGAGAGCAUGCCUGUUUCAGUGUCAUGAAAUCUCAACCACUAGGGUUUCCUAAUGGAUUGGAUUUGGGCGUCUGCGAUCUCUGAUCGCUCGCCUUAAAAGAGUUAGCAAGUUUGACAUUAAUGUCUGGUGUAAUAAGUUUCACUGGGUCCAUUGUGUUGAAGCGUGCUUCUAAUCGUCCGCAAGGACAAUUACUUUGACUCUGGCCUGAAAUCAGGUAGGACUACCCGCUGAACUUAAGCAUAUCAAUAAGCGGAGGAAAAGAAACUAACAAGGAUUCCCCUAGUAACGGCGAGUGAAGCGGGAAGAGCUCAAAUUUGAAAUCUGGCAGUCUUCGAUUGUCCGAGUUGUAAUCUAUAGAGGCGUUUUCCGUGCCGGACCGUGUCCAAGUCUCCUGGAAAGGAGUAUCAAAGAGGGUGAUAAUCCCGUACUUAACACGACCACCGGUGCUCUGUGAUACGUCUUCUACGAGUCGAGUUGUUUGGGAAUGCAGCUCAAAAUGGGUGGUGAAUUCCAUCUAAAGCUAAAUAUUGGCGAGAGACCGAUAGCGAACAAGUACCGUGAGGGAAAGAUGAAAAGCACUUUGGAAAGAGAGUUAAACAGUACGUGAAAUUGUUGAAAGGGAAACGAUUGAAGUCAGUCGUGUUCUUUGGAUUCAGCCAGUUCUGCUGGUCUACUUCCUUUGAACGGGUCAACAUCAGUUUUGUCCGGUGGAUAAAGGCAGUAGGAAUGUAGCUUCUCCCGGAAGUGUUAUAGCCUAUUGUCACAUACACUGGGUGAGACUGAGGACUGCAGCUCGCCUUUAUGG